UGCGUGUGCGUGUGUGUGUGUGUGCGUGUGUGUGCGUGCGUGUGUGUGUGUGUGUGUGUGUGUGCUUGGUGAUCACUGCAUUCUAUCCCCUCGUCCUCCUAAUGUCCUCCUUGCUUACCUCGUGGCUGUGUGUCCUUGGGGGGGCCCUGGGGGCGUUCUGACUUGUUCUGGCGCCUCCACGGGGCAUCAAGUCCACUUCCUCCUCACAUCUCCCCCCCCGCUCCCCCCCCCCCGCUCUGAUGUGUCUCUCUGGCCCUUUGUCCUCCUCUCUCCUCCGUCAUCCCUCCACCGCACGAGCUCGGCUUCCUCGCCAGGCACAGCGUUUGACUCACGAUGCCCGUCACCGAUCAUCAGACCGGGGGGGGGGGCGGGGGGGGCUUAGCCGACUGUACACGAGCAUUAAGAGCAGUGACCUCGCUGCCAGCUGCCAUCCUGUCCCCACGUUACCCGGCUGCAUGUCUGUCAUGAACCAACACCCUUCUGCACAUAUUUCUACUGCAGUGUGUGUGUGUGUGUGUGUGUGUGUGUGUGUGUGUGUGUGUGUGUGUGUGUGUGUGUGUGUGUGUGUGUGUGUGUGCUCUUGUUCUUCUAUGCCGGUGGGGACCUAUACCUGAUUGCACACAGACCGGUGGGGACUUGUGUCCCCGUGGGGACCUAAAGUGAGGUCCCCACGGGCAAACCCCUCCCACAAGCUCCAAAAUGGUGUCUAGAUACACCCCCAAUGAUUUUUUCUGAGGUCCCCUGGAACAUCAAUUUCAUGACAAAACUGUGUGAGUGUGUUUCUGAAUGCGCCCCUAGUGGAUGCACACGGGUACUGCAGUCCCCAUGAGGUUGGCUGUUCUUGAAGUGUGCGUCGCUGUUUUUCCACUCACUACCGCCCCCUAUCGGUUCAAAAGUGGUAUUUUCGCAACAUACACUUUCAAUGCUGUCUGUUUGAUGGUGGUAAAACAGACCACAAAUAAAAUGCUUUAUUUCAUAAAAAGUAUACAAAUAAAUAAACCAAAAAAUUCAUACAUACAUAAUAUUAAUACUGAUAUUGAUCAAAUUAUUCAAUUAAAUAAAAAUCAAUUUCAUUAAAACAAUUAUAAGGUUUAUUUCAAAUGUAUAAAAUGUUAGACUAGCCUUUAUGUAAACUCUUGCCUGUUUAUUUUAUACUAUUUUAAGGAUAUGUUGUUAUUAGUAUGUCAUCAUUGAUAUUAUUGACAAUCGUAAUAAUAGUCUAUAUUUGAUUUCAUUCAUCAUAUGAAUAGUGUAACAUGAAUUAUUGCAGAGAUCAAUAAGGUCUUUUAUUUUCAGAUAACUUGUCUUAAUAAACAGUGCCCACUGUUCAAUCACAACGCUAUGGAUGAUAAUAGACAAGCAAGUAUAGAGUUGUAUCCAUAGACAAAAUAGGAGUACAAAAGACAUUUUACUUUAAAUCAAUAUAGCAAGAUGCUUUGAUGGAUGACCAUUUAAUGUGUACACUUUCUAUAUCAAAUUAAUUAGGUUAAUAUUUGCGUGAACUAUAAAUGACAAGUUGUUGACUUGCUGAGGGAUUGCAUAGAGCAGGGGUAGGCAUUGUAUGGCUCGCGGGCCACAUCCGGCCCUUUGGCUGUCCGUGACCGGCCUGUGAGAGGUUGAUUGGAAAUUACAAAGUAAAUAUUUUUGUCUAAUUUUACCUCAUGCAUGGACUAAAGCUGCAGUGCUUUUAUUCUUCUCCUUGGCUUUGGACGAGAGCUAACUGAGGAGCUGGCAGCACUGCGCUCAAUGAAAGUGAUAACGACAGGGAGCGAUUUAUUCACGGAGGUAGAUGCAUGCACAAACAUGCUGGGUCUGAAAUGGGACCAAUUUGCAGGUGUCACAACAGAGGCCUGUCCAAGUCCUGUCAAUAUUUUUGCAUUUUAUAAAUGUGGUGACCCCUGCUGUGGAGGCAGCAGCUUUGCAGUGGGAUUUUGUGGGCUGAGUUUGGUGAUUGAAGGCACCUGGGCCCGGUUCCCUGAGAUUAAAAGACCCAGUGUUCAUUCUCUCUUCUCUCUCCAGCAGACGUCCGGUGGUGUGGUCGUGUACCUUUUUUUCGUUGGCUUAUGUUAAAUAAAGAAGAUGUUAAAACUCUUUAAAACAGUACAACUCCAAUCUUGUCAUGGCCCAAAGAGCCAGGUUGUGACAUAAUACAUCAGCCUGUGUUGCAAGUCAAAAAUUAACCAUGUCAUUGAUGUUGUCACUAAAAUAUUUAACUUCAUCAGGGCACAACCAUUGAAUCACAGACAGUUUGCUACACUUUUGGAGGAGCAUGAGAAUGAACAUUGUGACAUAGGCUACGACACAGCACAGUCAUGAUUUGAUUGUUAUAUAUGUAAACUAUUUAAAAUCUAUAACACCCCAAUAAUGCAACUAAAACAUCAAAAAUGGUUAGGGUGGUGUUCUUGUAUAUUUACCCAAGUGCUUUCCUGUGUUAUUUUUAGGCUAUAGUAUCAAUAUAAAACAUAUUUUACUGUAGGAUGCCUUAGCCUGGAAUCAACCAAGGCCUGCAGUGUGAGCUAUUUUGCAUCUGAAUUACAUGAGGGCAAAGGGAAAAAUUGCCCAUAAGAAAUAUCAUUUUGCCCCAAAUAUCACUACGAAAGGGGCCAAAAAUGCCAUUGAAUGUUUUUGAGUCUCGCCUUGACUGUUGUUCCGUGUGCGGGAAGGAUCAAACGUUCUUAAAAAGAAAAAAGGAGCACUUCUUGAUCAGACCUGUGAGUUCGCAGAGAGCAAAUCCAGUCUCCGUCACCAUCUCAGGUCCAAAAGAAAAAGGCCCUCAAAUUUAGCAACAACCAAUGUCGUUGUCUACCGGGGAAUUCUUCUGCUGACUUUAUCAAGUGGAGCAAAAACAACAAGAAAUACGUGUCCUUUCGUCACCAGGCAACCGAGCAACAUAGUGGGUGAUAACCAGUUGUUUCAAAAGUAUUCACAUUCAUUACUCAAGUAGAAGUAUAGAUACUUCUGUUGAAGUAUCAACUCAAGCUUUUAACUUAAGUAAAAAUACUGAUUGUGUAGGUGUAAGGGGAAAUAAUUCCAUCAAGUACAAAGUCUUAAUGUGUAAUCUCGCUCACAGAACAUGUCAGUCCAUUACAAUAGACAAUAAUAAUUCAGAUCAUGUGAACCUGCCGUUCGGAUGAUGUAAACAUGGUGAUGUUCAGAGAGGCAAUGCUAAAACAUAGGGACACAUGCUCAAACAAAUAAAACGCCCCUGGAUACUUCCGGUUAAGUUAACCAUCAUGUGUUGAUGAUGUCACAGAGGUGCGCGGUUUUGUGAAAUAAUAAAGAUGGACGGAUACAGCGCCAAUGACUAAUAUUAGUACUACGUGUUUUACUUGGACAAUUAAAUGUCAGUGGACACUCACAAAUACUACAGCCCCCAUCACGAUUACAAUUGUUCACUCCUCAGUGCGCGGUUUCGCCCACCAGCGGAACCCCUCCGCCCCUAAACCCGGCCGGUCCGCCCGCAACUUUCAACGUGCUUAUUAACUGACGGACCUUCUUGCGGUCCGCGAAAAAGGUUAUUAAUAGUAUAUUAAGUUGACGCUUUGUUGCGUAAAAUAAAGACCAAACGAAAAGAAUAAAAUGAUCUUCUGUCAUUCACGUAAGAAAAUAAACUCACGUGUCUGCAGCUCAAUAACAACACCGAAGGAACAACGUCUCGACCCCGGUUUAAGUCUCCAGCAGACGAGGAGUAGCCUCGUUAGCAGUUUAGCUAGCUAGCAUUUAUCGCUCUCCCAUGUUUGAAAUAUCUAACCGUCCUGCCUCCACAUACGGUUAUGUCCCAGGUGUGGUCUUGAAAAGCAAGUUCCAUUUUUAUGUAUGCAUCAAUGCAUUCCAACUAAUGAGGCUUGCUAGCUACCCUUAGUUAACGGUUCACAGACUGCUGUCAGUGAGAAAUAUUUCCACUCUCCUAUAGGGUUGGGUACCGAGAACCGGUACUAAUAUAGCACCGGUUCCUACGCGGUACCUACCGUACUGAAAUGCAACGCAGAUUUCGGUGCUUAGUUUCGGUUCCUGAGCCGAUUGAAAAAAUUUAUUUACACACUCUGAUGACACCGUCCUCUCAGCAGCAAACGAUAGCCUACCGUGUGGCAAGCUAGCCAUCACCCUUCUAUUCUAUUUAUUUAAGUCAGUAUUUCCCUCCCUCUUUCAGCACGCGGCACUAUCGCCCAGACGGAUGCAGGCACACUAUUGCGCGCACACACAGACACGUGCGCAUACACAGGAGAGCUGCGCUCUCCAGCGGACACAGAGCGUGAGUCCGCAACUACCGCACCCCUCCCGUCGGACAGCCCCCCACUGAAGUAUUAAACAGAGGGUGUAACGACGUUCCUUCGGUGCUGUUCGCCAUUAAGCCAAGUGCGUAACAAUGCAUUCUUUAGGAAAUAUUGAGAAAAUACCAAUCUAACCCCCCCAAUAUACAUGGUUACGCCCUUGAAUGGGGCCUAAAUAUUAUGUGAAUUUCCUACGCUGCUAUGGCAUGACAUAUUAUGCAGCACGAUAAAGUGUCAUUAAUGUCUACAUUGAAUCAACGGUGCUAGAAUAUUUGGUGUUUGGUUGUCCUCCCCCAAAGCCCAUAUAUAUGGAUAACUUGCCAACGAUAUAAACUAUUUGACAAAAGUAUAUAGAUAACACUGCAAUAAGUAAGACAAAUCUUUCGAUAUGAGACAGGCUGUCUCAGUUGAGUUGGGGUCUGAUAGGCGCAGAUACGAAGACAAUUGGUUGAAGUUGUCAACAUCAAAGGGGGCUGACUUUGGCAGUCUAGAAAGCUUUUGGAAUACACCCUGAAACCAGAGAUGGGGAUGGUGAGAAGAAAUUCAGUCUGAAGAAGAGUAAAUGGGAUUGGGUCAAGGGUGUAUGUGGUGAGGCAGUUAGAGUACAUACUGAAACCUCUUGUGAAGCAACAUAAGGCCUCCUGAUGGUAUCAGCCCCAGGGUGCUGAAGACCUGCGCCAUCCAGCUGUCUAAAGCCCACCAACAUCUCCUUAUUCUGAACCUAAAGCAGCAGGCAGUCCCGAUGCUGUAGGAGACACCGUGGCCUCAAUGACCACUGACUAGUUGCCCUCACAUCCCAUGUGAUGAAGGUGCUGGAGAGGCUGCUCUUGACCCACCUUCAAGCCCAGAUAAAAUCAUCACCGGGCCCUCUGCAAUUUGCAUUGCCUUAUGUGGGAGUGGAUGACGCCAUCAUCUACCUGCUGCCACGAGCCCAGUCGCACCUGGAUGGUGGCUCUAUCCCUUUCUUUGACUUCUCCAAUCAGUGAUUCUGGCGCUUCACAGUUCUGUGUACCUUGUACACAACUCACUUCAGUUAGGGCAGCUCCGACCGCUGGGCGCUACAUGACUUGUAAAAAUAAAUGCUGCAGCCUGCCGAAGAGCAACGUCAGUUUUUACGGCAUAAUGCCGGUAUGAACAGUGCGUGAGUUACCGUAAAACCUUGAUUAAAGACUACAUAGAAGACUGUAAAAAUUGUCAGCCCCUCCCCACUCUUUAUUCUUAAACCGGAAAUAUGAUCAUUAGCGCCUAAAACGUUUUGUGUAUUCUUGUGUGAGUACUACACUUUUAAAUGCUAUUUCCCAUUCUAAAUUCAUAAUUUAUGUCUGCACAUAUAAAUACUUGUUCUGAAUACAAGGGCUUGUAAAUGUGGUAGUUGUAGUUUUUAUUCUUAAAAUAUCAAUGUUUGUCUACAUUUUUAAUUGUUCAAAAAUGCUUCCAGUUUUAUUAGAAAUUAAAUAAAAUACAUAUUAAAAUGUAUACUUAAUUCUAGUUGAGUAAUAACGUCUCAACUUCACCAGGUAUUUUAUGUAAUCCUUCGGUUUUAGUAAUUACUAUUACCCUUCUACGUUAUUAACAAGGCCCAGCAGAACAGGCUGAGCCCCAAUGCUCCCUCAAGCUAAUGGUGACUGAAGGAGUGGGGGGAUGGGCGAGGGUACGGUGGGGACAGUCAAUGUCAGGUUUUGUGUUAAGAACCUUAAGUUUCGUUUUUUUACACAAAACCGAACUGUUACCAUCCACGUGGGGUCCUCGGUCUGGCCACGCCCCCACCAAGCACCUGCUACCGUCCAUUUCCCUCAGACUGCCGAGCAGCAGACAACGUGACGGUGCUGGCUGCAGAAGCUGGAUAGAAAUGGUGAGUUUUUAAUUAUUGGACUAGCUUCUAAUGUAAAACAGUGCUUUUUACGUUUACUUUGAUACUAUUAAUAUAUGUACUGCCAUAUAAAAUGAGCUGUUGCAAUGUGCUAAACUCAACUUAGAUGGGAAGCUAAUGUUAGCUAACAAUAAGCAAGCAUGUGCAACUAGCACCACAAAUAGUGCUGUUAAGUUUACUUUGAUACUAUUUUCAUAUGUACUGCCAUAUAAAAUUAGCUGUUGCAAUGUGUUAAACUCAACUUAAAUGGACAGCUAAUGUUAGCUAACAAUAAGCAAGCAUGUGCAAGCAGCAGCAUGUGCACGCGUUGUGAAAUAGAAUGCUGGACAGCUAAUUAGUUAUUUAUUAUAUACUAUAUAAAUAUAUUCAUGUUUUAUCAAUAUCUUUUCACACAGAAUGUGAAUAUUAUGCUCAACAAAGGGAGUGUAAUACUUAAUCUGCGUUAAGACCUGGAUUAUAACUAAUUUCCCUUUAACCAUUUUAAGUAUCCUUACGGUGGCUUUUGGGCCUAUAACACUUAAUAAGCAGUUUUCCAUUUGCCCAAAGAGUGAUUGUAAUAUCUACCCAUGUAUAAAUAGGCAUUUUAAUUCAGAUUGUCAUAAGUAUUGAGAUAGAUAAUAUAAUGUUUGUCGUUAAGAACAGAAGUAGAUGUUACUAUAAUGCAUUCCAUAACAGAUAAACUUAAUUCAUUUCAGUAAAAAUAAAAAAAAGAGUACUGUAAUGAGUUGGAUGUAUAGCUUUGGCUGAAUGUGUCCCUUGUGCUUUUAGGAGGAUGGAGCAUGUUUGCCAUCCAGUAGUGACAGCUCGAAGUGCACAGAUGCUGAUGUCGGAGAAAUGAAGGAGCCUUUGACCGUGAACAUACUAACCAGGUAGUUCCGAUGAAAAGAUGCUGCUGGCUGGAGAGGUCUGGUGAAUCUCACACAAAAAAGGUAAUCUCUUCCAAGUUUUUCCAGGUUUUCACCUAACA